UACGAAGGGUGCAAGCGUUAAUCGGAAUUACUGGGCGUAAAGGGUGCGUAGGCGGUUUGGCAAGUCUUGUGUGAAAUCUUUGGGCUCAACCCAAAGCCUGCACAAGAAACUGCCGGGCUUGAGUAUGGGAGAGGUGAGUGGAAUUUCCGGUGUAGCGGUGAAAUGCGUAGAUAUCGGAAGGAACACCUGUGGCGAAAGCGGCUCACUGGACCAUUACUGACGCUGAGGCACGAAAGCUAGGGGAGCAAACAGG
rnacentral:rRNA from 1 species